UUGAAACGAUUGACAACAUGAUGACGCUUGAUGAAAACAACAACACAUGCAAAUCCUGUGGAUGACAGAUAAUAAUGACACUUAAACAGCUCAUUUUCCUGCUCAUAAAUCUGACAGGCAGACCGUUAAAAUGGAGGAAUCCAGCAUGUCAAGGCGAUUCACCUCUCAACUCUACAGGAUCAGUGAAGUGUUGUGGACUGUAAACCUGUUGAACAGAAGCAGAGACGUGUGGACAGACACUGACUGUACUGAUGAGGAUCAUCUGCUGCUGCACAGGCUGUAAAGUAUAACCCCUGCUGGACACUGCACUGGAAGCUCCAGGGGAAGACUGAACUGGUAUCCACCCUUCUUCAGGCGCGCCUCACACUCACUCACCAUUCACUCAUAUCGCAGAGAUCUGGCUGGGAUCAACCCAGCAACCCCUGAAGCUCUUACCACAGACAUAUUAUCUGGAUGCACGCUUAGAUUUGCAAGCUGAGACCGCAUAUCUCACACUUGCAAUGUCAGACACAAUCAAGAACUAGUGAUGUCACUGUGAGGGGUGGGGUUAAGUGUGAGCAUUAAAACCAUUACAUGCAACUCAACUUGCAACUGCACCAAUCCUUAUCCAUCUGAACACCUGCUGGAGCUGAUGUUAGACUGCUGAGCUGUGAACUCACAAUAAAGAACUGAAUAAAAAUAAA